rnacentral:rRNA from 1 species
GACGAACGCUGGCGGCGUGCUUAACACAUGCAAGUCGAACGGAAAGGCCCUGCUUUUGUGGGGUGCUCGAGUGGCGAACGGGUGAGUAACACGUGAGUAACCUGCCCUUCACUUUUGGAUAACUUCAGGAAACUGGGGCUAAUACCGGAUCGGAUCUCCUGCUGCAUGGUUGGGGUUGGAAAGUUUCGGCGGUUGGGGAUGGACUCGCGGCUUAUCAGCUUGUUGGUGGGGUAGUGGCUUACCAAGGCUUUGACGGGUAGCCGGCCUGAGAGGGUGACCGGCCACAUUGGGACUGAGAUACGGCCCAGACUCCUACGGGAGGCAGCAGUGGGGAAUAUUGCACAAUGGGCGGAAGCCUGAUGCAGCAACGCCGCGUGCGGGAUGACGGCCUUCGGGUUGUAAACCGCUUUCGCCUGUGACGAAGCGUGAGUGACGGUAAUGGGUAAAGAAGCACCGGCUAACUACGUG